rnacentral:rRNA from 1 species
UAGGGAAUCUUCCACAAUGGACGCAAGUCUGAUGGAGCAACGCCGCGUGAGUGAAGAAGGUUUUCGGACCGUAAAGCUCUGUUGUUGGUGAAGAAGGAUAGAGGUAGUAACUGGCCUUUAUUUGACGGUAAUCAACCAGAAAGUCACGGCUAACUACGUGCCAGCAGCCGCGGUAAUACGUAGGUGGCAAGCGUUGUCCGGAUUUAUUGGGCGUAAAGCGAGCGCAGGCGGAAGAAUAAGUCUGAUGUGAAAGCCCUCGGCUUAACCGAGGAAUUGCAUCGGAAACUGUUUUCUUGAGUGCAGAAGAGGAGAGUAGAACUCCAUGUGUAGCGGUGGAAUGCGUAGAUAUAUGGAAGAAUACUAGUGGCGAAGGCGGCUCUCUGGUCUGCAACUGACGCUGAGGCUCGAAAGCAUGGGUAGCGAACAGGAUUAGAUACCCUGGUAGUCCAUGCCGUAAACGAUGAGUGCUAAGUGUUGGGAGGCUUCCGCCUCUCAGUGCUGCAGCUAACGCAUUAAGCACUCCGCCUGGGGGAGUACGACCGCAAGGUUGAAAC